rnacentral:rRNA from 1 species
UACGAAGGGUGCAAGCGUUAAUCGGAAUUACUGGGCGUAAAGCGUGCGUAGACGGCGCAUUAAGUCAGCUGUGAAACCCCCGGGCUCAACCUGGGACCUGCAGCUGAUACUGAUGUGCUUGGAGUUUGAGAGAGGGUGGUGGAAUUCCUGGUGUAGCGGUGAAAUGCGUAGAGAUCAGGAGGAACACUAGUGGCGAAGGCGGCCACCUGGCUUAAAACUGACGUUGAGGCACGAAAGCGUGGGGAGCGAGAGGG